AACCCCCCCCACCCCCAUAGUUAAAUUAUUUGCUCGUUUAUCCUUAUCUUCCUAUGUAAUGAUUUCCAGAACAUAUUAACGUAGGGGUCACUUCUCUCCUCCCUCAUAUCUUUGGACAGGCACCUGCAAGGGCCCCCCCACCCCGGCCGAGGCGCAGUCACUGCUCUGCUGGCAUCAGCAGCCUGCCUGGGGCUCGCCUGGUGGGGCCUGCCCCGCGGGAUGCUUCGAGCGCUCCGAGUGUGCUUAGUGUGACCCUUUGUGGCGCGGACCCUCAGACUAAAGGCCAAAGAAAACCAAGUCUCUCUUGAGAGAGCCAAGGCUCGGGAGCAUCCCUUGAAGGGCACCCCCCACCCCCAGGCUUCAUUUCCACGGGACCACCUCUUGGAAGGUGGCCCCACCCUGAGCUGCUGGACUCCUGGGGCCUGGGACUGCCGCGGGCCCGGCCUGGGGCCCCGGGGCGGCGAAGACACGCAGCAGAGCUUGCAGAAGGCAUCAGGGAGCCUCCUCGCCCAGAGCGGAGCACGAGCUGGAACCAUCCGUGAGCAGAACCCCGAGUCCAGACACGAGGAUGGUCAUCCAGGUCUCCUAUGGGCAAGCUGGUGGCUCCUCCAGGGGAUCCAAGGAACUCUGGAAAGAUUCAGAGCUGACUCAUAUAUCCAAGACUUUUACAAAUAUAUUAUGGUAGAUGUGACAUGGAAUUAUCAAGUUGCUACCACUCAUUGAGACCAUACUAUGUACAAACAUUGUGUUAAAUGGUUUUUAUGUAAUACCUCAUUUAAUCCCAAAAUAUCCUUGGGAAUGGGCUCAUACUUAUAUAAUUCUGUCUUAUUUUAUUGGGAAAAAAAAGAAAACAAACAAACCCUGAGGCUCAGGUAAGUGAAUAAGUUACUCAGGGUCAUACUGAAGGAAUCUGCCUCCAAAGCUGUGUUCCUAAAAAGUUCUAAAAGCAUCCUUGGCCUAAGGGCAUCCCUCACCUAGCAUAGAAUCAAAAGGCCUGGCCAAGUAGGACAACUAAAUCAGCUUUAGCCCAAAUUCAAAUCCCAUCCUCAAAUUGCCCCUUGGAAUUUGUCUGGGAAGGAGAAACAAACAGCAAUUUGUCCCAUUUUUGUUGAAAUGUAAUUGAAAUAGCUCAUUGUUUUUUUUACAUCUGAGUCCCCUAGGAGCCAACAAAUUGCUAGUAGACAAUUGAAAGCAGUACUAAUGCAAAGAUUGAAGAGUUUGUGUGAUAAUAAGAUGAAAUGGUAGCUGGUAGGAGGGCUUUAGAGGGCAGUCUUGCAAUCUUAAUUGUCAAUGAUAAUGAGUUCGUAUAAGGACAUGCCUUGCUCAGAAUUUACCAUUCUCUCUUCUGAAGCUUUCAAUAACCUAUUUUACUUCCCUAGUAUUUUACCAUUUACUUAAAAAAAAAAAGAAUAUAAUUUCAGUAGGUUAAAUAUUUUAUUUAAAACAUUAAACAUUUUAUAUGUAGAAUCGCUGAUUUUUGCUAUCACUAUUCAGCAUCCUUAUGCUCCAGAUAAGAAAUGGGGAAGUGCAUGUAGCUGUAGUUCUCUUGACC
rnacentral:lncRNA from 12 species